UUACAUUUGCCUUUUCAUAAUGAUUUAACAAUUUGUCUAAAUUGGAUUUUGAUUAAUGAUUACUAAUUUCCUUUUUUUAUAUAAAAAUAAAUAAAAUCAUAAUUAUUUGUCUAAAUUAAACUAAUUUGGCAUGUAAGUAAUAUGAAUAAUAUAUUAGACUCUUGAUUUCCAAAAAAGAAAAUAUUAUUUAUUUUUUUAAUAUACUUUUUAAAAAAAAUUAUUUUUCUAAUUAUUGUUUUAAAUUAUUCUUAUUCAUUUUUUAAAAUAUUACUAUUCAAAAAUUAAAAACUUGUGCCUUUUUUUGAAAAAAAAUAAUAAGUAAAAGGAUUCAACUUUUCAUUCCUUAAAUAAUAUUUUCAUUUAAAUAAUUUAUCAUUACUUUAUUUGGCACCCGUGUUUUUAUUUUUUUUUUUGUCAAUUUUCCUUAAAAAAUGUAAAAAAUAAACAUUAUGUGUGACAAAAAAAGUUCAUUUAUUUUUUAUUUUUCAUAAAAAAAAAAAUUAUAGAGUACAGGACUUAUACAUUCUGAUUCAAAGAAAAAUUAUAAUAAUCUUCAAAACCAAAUUUCAUAAUAUCUUUAAAAAAAUCUCACCUCUAAGUUUUUAAAUAUAUUUAUAUAUAUUUAUUUUUCAUUUUAAUAAAUAACUUUUUUUAUGACAAAAAAGGCAUAAAUAUUUUUUUUAAAUGCAAAAUUUUUAACAAACAAAGUUACAAAACACCAAUUGUAGUUUUUUUUUUUUAAUGAAUAUUGAUAUUAUAAUAUCUUCUAAUAUUUCAAAAAUAAUAAUUAAUAAUUAAAUAUGAAUACUCUCUUUAAUUCAAAACAUCAAUAAUUGAUAAAAUUAUUCACAAUGAUAUAUAUGGUAGUGACAUUUGUUUAGAGAGAGGAUAGGGUGGUUUAGGCGUUAUUAUAGCCCAAUUGGCCACAUUUAUUAGUCAAAUAAAAUUCAAUGAAUUUGUCAAUUAUUAGGCAGAGUACAUUCAUGAGUAGAACCAGCCGUACUUGUGUUCGGUACUUAUUAUAUAAUUCAUAAGAAGGCCUAACUCAUCAUAUUAAUUAAAAAAAUCAAUAAUUCUACCUAUUAUGGGUAAUUAUGAGAAUUAAUAUACAUCAUCGUUUGGUCGCAUAUUGUUGUAUCUUAUCACGAGAUUUAGAUUUUAUUCUACAUCUUCGAUGAUUUCGAUUGUAUUUUCAAUUGAUACCAAUUUUGAAUCAUAAAAUUUUUCAGUAUUCAUCACCUUAUGGUAUUGAUUUCAAUACAUACAGAAAAAUUGGAUUAAUCAGAUUAUGUCAUGCAUACACUUUAGAUCUUAAUGUAUUAUAAUCAAAUUCGACCUCUUAGUUAAGAAAAUCAAUUAUUCUAUCAAUUAUAAGCAAUUAUGACGAGUAAUAUAUAUUCUUAUAUUAGUCAUAUAUAGGUUUAAAUUUCAUUGUACAUUUUUAAUAAUUCAGAUUGUAUUUUUGAUGGAUACCAAUUUUGUAUCCUAAAUUUUUUUAGUAUCAAUCACCUUAUAGUAUCAAUUUCAAUACACACAUAAAAAUGGGAUUCAACAGAUUAUGUCAUACAUACACUUUGAAUCUCAUUGUAUUAUAACCAAAUUCGGUCUCCUACUUAAAAAAGAAAAUCAAUAAUUUUAUCAAUUAUAGGCAAUUAUGAGGAAUAAUAUACAUCCUCGUUUGGUCACAUAUUGUUGUAUCUCAUCCCAAGAUUUAAAUUUCAUUCUAUAUCUUUAAUGAUUCAAAAUUUAUUUCCAAUAGGUACCAAUUUUGUAUCCUAAAAUUUCUCAAUAUCAAUCACCUUAUAGUACCAAUUUCGAUACAUAUUAAAAAAAUGGGAUUAAUCAAAUUAUAUUACAAAUACACUUUCAAUCUCAUUAUAUUAUACCAAAAUUCGAUCUCUUUGCUUUCUACAUUAAUUUUAUUAUUUUAUAUUUUGAUUUCAUAUAUUUGCACGUUUACUCAAACACUAACUCAUAUCGUAAUUUUGAUGGUUACUAAUUUAAUACCUUAGAAUUUUUCAUAAAUAUAUUUAUAUGUAGAGGAAUAGCGCGUGAUAAUCAUGUAUACAACAUAAUAAUAAGUACAAUAGUUAAUCAUAGUAGUCAAAGAAAUCAAUAAUCUUAUCAAUUAUCAGGGGAAGUCUUUCAUGUGGAGCAAUUAUAUAUACAUAAUAAAAAAAGUCCACUAAUUAAAAUAUUAAUAAUUCCAUUUAUGAUAAGUAGAUGGAAUAAUGAGAAUCAUAUACAUGUGGACGAAAUAUUUACUUUCAUAAGUCCACUGGCCAACCCCAUCAGUAAAAACUGUAAUAAUUAAUAAAAUUAUAAUAAAUUUUUAUAAUUUAAAGAAAAUGAUUUAAUUUCAAAAUAUAAAGAGAUAAGCACAAAAAUAGCAUGACCUGUUUUAUGGAUUAAUGUCAAUCCAAAAUUGAAUAAAAGGCACAAUUGUUUUUUAAAACAAUUUUUUUUUAAAAGAAAAAAGAAAAAAAAAACUCAUUUAGAGUGUGUUUGAUAGUGAUUUUAAGAAAUGAUUCUACAUUUUUUUAUAUUUUAAUGAUAAAAAUUUUCAAGUAUUAUGAAGAUUAGAAACAUUUUUAAAAAUCACUACUAAACAAACUCUUAAUAACUAAAAAAUAAAAACAAAUAACAUUUAAAAUAAAAACAUCUUUUGAUUAUUUUUAAUUAUUUUCACUUGAUUUUCUAAAAAUUGUUUUAAAAAUUAAUUAUAUAAAUAUGAAGAAUAAUUAAAAAUAAAACAUUCUUGAUAAAAGUUAUUUUUAUAACACAUUUAAAAUCAUAGAAAAUAGAUUAAUAACAUUUUAUAAUCUCAACCAAGGUCUUGUUUUAUAAAAUAUCAAAUAACGGUUUUAAAAAAAAAAUUUCAAAAACUGCUUUUCAAAAUUGCUUUCAAAAACACUCCCCCAAAAUACCCUACUUCAAAUGGAUGGUACUUUCUGCCACUUUGGCAGCCAUUGAAGCUACAUAAACCACUCCUCCUCCCUAAAAAAAUGCACUCCAAUCUCAAUUCGAAAUUUACAUUAUCACUAUUUUGAUUUUACCAACCAAAACUUUGGACUUGUGAGGGACUUCUUAUAAUCCACCAGCAUGAUAUAAUAUUCCAAGAUCGUCUAUACAAAAGAGAUAAUGAUAAGUAUCUACAGCCAUUAAAUUACAUAUCACCUUACAAAAAUAAUACUAAGAAUUUUCAAGCCCAGUGGUGCCAGCCAUGGAUUUCUUGGGAAACAACACUAUGCAUACGUGAUGCGGUUAUUGAGAUAUAGGCCUAAACUGGUAAAAUUAAUCACAUGAAACGUAAUCCUAUUCACACUAAGUUUGAUGAAGUGAGCAUAGAAGUGAGGGAGUCUAUAUAGUGUGUAUAUAUAUAUAUAUACCAAUCUUGGAGAUGUAUAACUCACUAGGCUUUUCUUGCUUUUGCUCAUUGCAGUUGAGGGGCAUUCCUUUCAGUUAGUGAAGUGGCUACGUAAGGAACAAAACCCCUACCCCCAAACACGGGUCGCAUGUAGGCAUUGUCAAACUUUCUCCAGUAAUGGUGGACGGUAUGAGUUGGGGUGGUCCAGAGCAUGCGUAGAUUGGUUGGAGGGGGAGUGUUGUGGCUAUCCCCUUCGAUAUCUGGGUCUUGCCCAUUGGCGAGAAGUGGCAUGGAGAAGGAUUUUGGAGAAGAUGGCUCAGAGGACAUCAUGCUGCUGAAGUAUUUUGGAGGAGGCAGCAAGAAGCUUAUAAGGGGUUUGGUCAUCAAGCCAAACACCUGAGAGACUACAAGAUCAGUAAAAGAAAAGGCGGCCCCAGGAUGAGAGGCAUUUUUAUCUAAGAGGUGUGAGGUUCUUACCAGUGUACUGAAAAGGACAAUUGUGAUUGUGCUGGUGAUCAUGAUCGCAUUCCCUCUCAGUUGGGUAUGGCCUGACAUAGUGAACUGCAUGGGCAUCAUGAUAUAUGUUAUUACAUGACAACAUCAUUUAUAUAAAAUAUAAACAGUAUGAAUAAGGAAAAAGAAAGAAACUAUAACGGUAACCUAAAUCACUCAUGUGACUAUCAUCUUUGAAGUGAAUGAGCACCCUCACAUCCCAUUUAUUUCAUGGUAUCCCUCUUAUUCAGUUUGUGUAAGCUUGUAGUUGGUCCUACAAUUUGUUGUUUUCUUCAUCCUUGUUAUAAUACAAAUUAAAAGAGACGAAUGAAGUCAGAACCUGUCUUCAGAUGCUAUAUAACAUCUGCCAAAUUUGACCCUGUAAUCCCAUCAAUGCCCUUGCUGUCCUAAGAGUCUCAAAUAAAUAGAAUAGCCCAACUAAACUGUUCUAUGGUGGUUGAAUUUGAUUCUCAAAAUACUAUAGUCCUCAUUCAAAAGAAGAUUCUCGGGUGAAUCUCCAUUUUAUCCUAAUAAAAGUUUGCCAGGAGAUGAUUCAUAGAAGUUGGGAAUGCAAGGCUCUAAAAGUGUUUUAGAGAGGCAAAUAGGGUGGCUGAUACAUUGGCAAAUGGCUUACCCUUACUGCAAUGACUACACAAAGUCUAAUUCCAGCCCUUCAAAAGUGAAAGAACGUUAAUGGGCUGUUGUAUAGGUUGUGCUUGGCAAAGAGAUCUCAUGAAAACAUAGUUGUUUUCCGUUUUCUUUGUUGGUCUUGCAACCUUCUUCACUUGUAUCAGAAAAAUGUUCAAGGGUGAGAGUUUUCUCCUUCUAUUCCCAAUUCACUCCUGCUUUAAUUUUUCAACAAAUAAAGAGAAAAAAAAAAACCACAAGAUAGCACUGUAAGACCUUUAGUGGUAGGUUUACCAAACUAUUGGACAUUAUAAAAGUUUCAUUCUAUCAAUGCUUUUCUAAAACUGCAUAUAUCCUAGUCCACUGAAGUUGUUCCAAUCAGUACCUGAUUAUAAGCAAGUGCAACAGAUACAGCACCUCGCAUGAGUCCAGCCCACCAUAUUGUGAUCUGCAACAGUUACAUCUCUCCACUUAGUAGAUGAAUUGAUUCAGUGAGAUGAAAAACUAACAAAAGGGAAAACAAAAGUGCUUACCUGUUGCUUGAACCCAAUCUUGUCACUCUCAGAUUUCUUAGUUAAGUUGGAUAAAAAGGAUAGGGGGAAUACAAAAGCUGCCCUUCCAAUUAGAACCAGUCCAAGAAGAAUUGAACUCACCCCAAUUGAUGUUCCAGGACUGAAGACAUUGACGUGAAGCCCACAUUGUGAGAACAGUAUACACUAAUUGCAAGAAGCAAUUUAAACUUUAAAUUAAAAUUCAUGGACUAUAAGACUCAAAAACAUGAGUGGAAGCCUGGAAAGUUAAGGGUGGUAAAUGUGUCAACCAUUAUAUAAAGACAUAUACAUUAGGAAGAUGAGUUUGGACUGAAUUAUAAUUAUGUAGAUUUAGAAAUCUUACCUGUUGCUUACAACCCGCCACUUCUCAAUGUCCAAGGCAUCAAUACCAACAUACAGGAAGAUAAAAAUCUCAGAAACAAAAGAUAACGUUGCAAAAGUAUGCCUGCAAAAAUCAUAAACAGAAACAGAAAAUACAUGCAACAUAAUUUUUUUUGGGAAAAAAUAAAAUAAUAAGAAAAUGGGUUCCAGAUUUUGAGAAAAUAUUUCUGAAGAUUUAGCUUACUUUGUGGUGACUCUUGAACUUUCAGUCACGUUAUGCCAGGUGUAGUGUGACAUGACAAUCCCGCAAAAGAAUACAGUGAGAAUGCCACUUAAAUAGAACAACUGGAUGAUGAACAGAAUUUAUAAACACUAUCAGUAAAGCACAGAAGUGGAUGAUAAUAAUCCUUAUAAAGCACAGAAUUGGAUGAUGAUAGUCCUUGUAUAUUUCAAACAGAACUUGAUGAGAUUCUUAUAAAGGUGCUUGAAGGGUAGAAAGAAAUCUUACUUCAGCCAUAAUGUAUGAAAGGUAAGCCAUGACAAUCAUAAGUGCAACUUCACGAUCAGUAGAGUGCCUGAAAUUAAGCACAACUUUAGUUACUAAAGUUCUGCGAAGAUGAAUAAAACACCUUCUAUGACCCCAUCAAUUUAUUGCCUUGAUAUGAAAAUAUGACCUUCAACCACUCAAAAGAGGGAAAAAAAUAAGGUAGAUUAUAUGCAAAAUCUAAGGUAUCUUUAGGCUACAGUCUAACAGGCAUGUAACAAUCAUACACUACCACUACCACUAUCACAACCACAACUGGUGUAUUAGUUGUGGUAAAAUUUUCUCUUUCAAAAGAUUCCACAGUUAUACCAGGCAUUUUCACUGAACAUAUACAGCUUGAACAUAUCCUGCUUUAUUCAACCACCCUGAUUAAAUAAUUCUGAACUUCCUUGCAAGAUCCUACCUCAAGUAUAAUUGUUCCAGAAAGUUGAAAUCAAAUUGGGAUUCCAGAUUAUUGUUGCAAGAAAUAAAUUAGAAAAUUCGAUAUAAGUGCAUUUGCUUAAGCAGGAAGCUGAUUGGGUUAUAAUCCCUUGAUGCACCAUGUUAUUGGAUGGAGAUUUGUACUCUAUUACUCCACAUGUAAAAUUCCUGAAUUGAAGAUUUAGUUAAUCAUUUCUAUAAUUAAUAUUAGAAGAAAACUAGCAUUGAAGCUUUAAUACAAUGAAUUGAAUAAAUAAAAAAACUGACACUUGAUUUUCCAAUAAACAUUGGGUGGAAAGAUAGUCACUAAUUCUUAGAUACCUUCCAAAAUACAGCUUCUUCAUGAUGUAUGCACUAAGCAAUCCAAUCUGCAGGCAAGAGAAAAUUCUUUAAUAACAGUAUAAUCCACGUGACUUUGGGUGGAGGCUUGGUUGGGGGAGGGUGUGGGGAGAGAGAGAGAGAGACUUACGAACACCCCAAGCAAGGUGCUUGCAAAAAAUAGAGACAAAAAAUUGCCAACAAACUGAAAGGCAAUGCCUGAAGUGAUGUGAGACAGGUCAAAUCUCUGGAUUGCAUUGAAAAGUACCACAGAUGUGGCAUCAUUUACCACACCUUCCCCAAAGACUAGACUGUAUAGCAAAGGUGUCUCAUCCUGAUUGAGCACCUGCCAUAUCAGAUGCAAACUUUAGUCAGAAAUGUUCUAUUGUCCCCAUUAUGGAAGCAGAAUCACAGCCUUGAGAAGAUAUCUAUACCUGCAAGGUGCAAACAGAAUCUGUAGCUGAAAAAAUUGCUCCAAUUGCUACAAAUAAUGAAGUGAAAACAAUAAUAUAAGAUAAGGGGAGCAAAUAGAAAAUAUAGCAAAAUGUGUUUCGAGAACAUCGCAAUUUUCAUGCUCUAAUCAAAGAUAAUGGGGUUUAAGAGGAAGGAAUUUUAUUGCCAACAAAACAUAGUAAGGUUAAGCAUUGUAAAUGAUCAUUAUAAUACUUGUAAUAAAAGUUUUCUUAAAUGCUCCCAUACAUAUAGAAAAGAUAAAAUUUCACGUAAAGUUACAGAUGCUAAUUCAAAUAGAAGAAUGAAGGAGAGUACCUAGAUAAUCCCCUAUCUCCAAGAAACCGAUAUCCAAUUUUUUGAAUAAUUGUAUAGCACCUGAAUCAACAAUAUGAAAGUUAAAAACAUGAUAAUCAUCGACCACAAGCUGCAUUUUUAUCAAUCAGACUACACACAAGGUUACAAAGAGCAUCAAGUAUUUGGUGUUCUUCCAAAUUUACAUGGAACACUUUUUUUUCCCUUUUUAUCCACAGCAACUUGUCCGCAUCUUCUCUAACAAGUGACAUGACUGGAUGUGUAGCAAGUAGAAAAAUUGAGCAUGCAAUUUUGAUUCAAAAAAGUUACCCACACAUAAAUCCUACAUUAAAUAAUUGAGAUGAAAUUUUUUUGAAAGAAACUAUAAGCACGGCCAUUGAAAUUCUGAAAAAAAAAAUUAUUUUGGUAUUACAAAAAGCAACCUAAAGUUGUUGAAUGAAUAUACCUAGAGAUAUAAUGCCAAAGGAUAUCAGUGUACCAAUAGCACCAAACAAUAUGAUUGUCAUAAAGUUUCGGAAAAACUGCUUCUUUUUUACCUGGAACCUGACACAAGAAAAAAUUAUCAAAUCAGCAAAACCUACCUCAAGAAAAGAUAAAUAACUGCACAUUUUAAUGCAUGUCAAUAUGGAGAGAAAGUACGCUUUGAGCAAUGCAGCAAUACAAGUGUGGUGCUGCACCUCCUCCAUGGAGGAAAAAGAUAAUUGUAAAUUCUCACUACAUUAAAGUCAUUCAAGGCAAAGUGGAAGAAGAAAGAUUUUAACAAUAAUGAGAUUCCUAAGCAUUAAAUCUUCUAAUCAAUUUUCAUUUACCUUCCAGUAUUGCAUGCAUUGGCAUUCUAGCCUUUUUACCACUUCAUAUGGUUUUUUCAUACCAACAAAAAUUUCUCCAUUUUCAAAUGACAAAUGAAAGGAAUUCACAAAUUCGACAAAACUCCACUCAGAAUGAUAUCAACUAUACUUAAACCACUUGAGGCCAGGCAAAAAAAGUAGACCAACAAUUUUCUGUAUACCCAGAGGGAAAGUGACAAUCUAGUAUCAAUACUUUGAUACCUUGUUCAGGAAGGAGAAGUAUGGGUAUAAAGAGAUCCCAAGGUGUCUAUUGUUUCUUCGAGUAAAUAGUUCUACAAGAUGAAAACAGAGGAGGUUUGAAGAGUAAAGACUCGAUUAGAAUAAUGGAGAAAUGCUUUGGAUAUAAUGUUUAAAGAUCAACACAAUAAUUUCAAUAAACCUGAACUACUUUGAAAGCAUCAUGGAUAUCUUUUUAAUAUGUACUUUUCUCCCCAUUGGGACUCAAACCUUUUACCUCCUACAAUCUCACCAAACCCCUUACCACUUGAGCCAAGCCUUGAGAAGUGCUUGAAGCAUCAUGGGUAUGACUGAACAUAAAAUUUUGCCUAGAUAGAGCAGAAGCACAGAAAUAUUCCUGCAGCUGAACCCAAAUAAUAUAGGAACAGCUUAAUGUGAACUCUUAGUGGACUUCACUUUUGGUGCUGAGCUGUUGCAUCUUAGCAAUUGCACAUAUGGAAGACAAAUUCAAACACAACCCACAUGCUUCCUAAUUUAUACAAGCACGAUUAUAUGGGACCCCCCAAAGGAACUGCCAACACCCUGCCUUUCUCCAAAAAGGAAAAAAAGAAUGAUGUUGUCCUUUGGUGCUAGGAUUAGCACCCACAAUUAUUCUUUAUCUAGCACUUGUAACUUCUACCUCUUUCUUGGAAAUAUGAGAACCACCAAAGAUGACAAACGUAAGCUCAACAUGCACUAUAGUCGGCAUCAUUUUACAUAGAAUUUCAACUCAAUAUGCUUCAAUCAAGAGUAAAUUUGUCCGAAGGGGUGUGCAUCUUCCUUUGACAUUUAGUGGAUUGCCUUGCAGCCAGUCAGGCCAAUGGUUUACCCCAGAGAAAAUAAAUUUGUAAAGGAUUUGUUCACAUAUAUUUGGUGUUAUGCAUUGGAUCUUUCAGUUUUAUUAUUUACCACUAUCUAAAUUGAUCUCUCAACUUCAAACCUGAUCUAUGGUUUGUAUAAUAUUAAGCUUGAAUCGAAACUGGCAUAAAACUCUAAUUCUUCUAGGGACCACCAAUUCACUCCCCUAGCCUCUAGGUAGUUUCAGAUAUAACUGCAAAUUUAACAUGAUAGAGGUCCCCCCAAACUAAAAGGAUUCAAAAUUUCAUAAGAUAUAAGUACAAUAAACUACAUUUGGGUAAUGUAUCAUCGAUAUUAACACUGCAACCUAUUUAGGAAGAGAAAAAAGCACCCUUCAUAAGUCAAAUUAAAACGAUCACAAGAAUUAGAUUGUAUUUCACUUCAGAUAUAAAAUCGUGAAAAAUGAAAAAACAAACUUACCCAGCAUUGAAUAUGAUAGGAGGAAGAAGAUAUAUGAAGAAAAGUUCCUCAUUGAAUAGUAAAAUGAGUGAGAUCUUUCCUCCUGUAGUUAAUAGGAGAACAAUUCCAGUGCACAACCCCUGUCAUUAACUCCCAAAAUCAUUAACCACUUUCUAUAAUUAUAGAACCAAAUAAAAAAAAAAUUACAAUUUAAUAAGACAUUCAAUACAAUAUAUAAAGUUGGCACUGAAAGUUUCAAGAAUAAGUACAGCAACUUACUAUAAAAAGGGCAGUGAUUGACUCAUUCAUCCAUCUAUACUCCUCGAGAAGAUGACCAAUCACAAUGCAAGCACAAAGGAGAGCCACAAACAAGGUUAUAGCAUCUAUCGAGACUUGAUCAGAGGUAGAUCUCAUCCCCAGUCCCGCUAAUGAAUUAAGACCCAUGUUGCCAAGUCAAUCACAAGUGGGGAAGAAAGAGUUAACUGUUUCAAAAAAUAAAACUCAAGGCUAAUUCACAGAGAAAUAAAUAAAUGAAUAAAGGAAAUGCAAAGAUAAUAAAUUUUUAAGCCCAAUGGUUUCUUUUAAUAGUUGUUCUUUUAUUUGUUUUCAACAACAGAAAAGCUUUGAUCGACUCUGCAAUGUAAUAAAUUCAAAAUUUAGCAUCCUUUCUUUCCCAUAUUCUCUCAACAACCAAACAGAAAACUUCUUAUUUUCCAAGCUAAGUUCCAAAAAAUCAGAACCAUCCAUUACCAGACUAGUCCAUUGGUUACCAAGAAAACGUAAAAAGAAAAGAAAAACAAACUAAGAAAUUGAAGACAAAAACUGAAAUAAAAACCCACUCAACUAAGCCCAACACAACCACUUAACCUAACCCAUGCAAACCUCUUAAUUUUUUCCAGGAACAAAAAAAAUUAAAAACGAAAAACAAACAAACACGCAGACGCACUCGAUAUUUUCCUUUCUUUUACAUCCCUCCGUUUUCCCGGCAACCAAACUAGGAAAAAAAUUAAAUAAAAAGGAAAAAAAGGAAAAAAGGAAAAACUUUACCGCCCAUGCCAAAGAGGAAGGAGGUCAGGGUAACAGCUCAAGGAUCUUCCGAGAAAAUCAGUGAAGAGCCAUGGUUUCUUAGCCUUUAAGCUUCCCGACAAAGAGAGAAAACUGCUGGGAACGGAAAAGUGCGAGAAACAGAGAAAAUGGAAAAGACCGCGAAAGUGAGGAUUCUGGUGGAGUUGAUUAGGUGUAUAUGUGAAGACGGAAUGGGACUGAACAUCCACCUUCAGCGCCGUUGGAUCUUCGUAGUUGAAGAGAUGGGUGGGGCCCUGGAAUAGCUUUGUGUGGAUGCUAAGCUAACAAUGCUUUUUCAAUGCUGGAGAAGCAAGGCCUUGGACUGAUGCUCCGAAGAAAAUGACACAAUUUAAAAAAAAAUAUAUAUAUAUAAAGAAAAUUAUUCAGCAAUGAAGAAAAAUCAAUGUAAUAAUUUAAAAAAUUAAGAAAUUAAAACAUUUAUUCGUGUGUGAAGGGUUAGUUGAUUUUCAAAUUCUAACAACCAACUGUGAGCCCUCUCCCCACCUAUUUAAUUGCUAUGACUCUUUUAUUUAAUGAUGAAAAACAAUGUACAUGUAUUAAAACCACUUGUCAAAUUUUGAUUGCUAAAAAUCUCUUUCAAUAAUUUUUCUUGUCCACUAUUUAAUAAAUAAAUAAAAUCUAAAUCUAUUUUAAAAUAUUUAUUAAUAAUUAUUUUAUUUUUAUUUAAUCAUAUUGCUCUUGAUAAAAAUAAAAAAUUUAAGAAAAAAAUGCCUUUUAAGAGUUUUCAAAAUAUAAAUUUUGAAUUUUCAAAAAAUAAAACAUCUCUUAAAAUACAUAUCUUUUAAGAUUUGUUUGAUUAUUUAUGACAUAAUGAAGAUAAUUAUGUCAUUUUAUAUAUUUAUAUUUUAAUCAAAUUUAGAAUAUCUUAAAACUAUAUACUUUAAAUGUUUUUUAAACACACUACUUUUAUAUAUUAAAUUAUUCUAUCAAAUUCAAAUCUUCAUGAUCACAUUUGAAAAUCAAAUUCAAAUCUUAAUGAACACCUUUAAAAACUUCAUGAUCACUUUUGAAGUAUUUCUUUAAAGAGUUGUCAUUGAUUAUUACAAGGUUUGUUUAUUUGGAAUAUUUUUUGUUUUUAUUUGUAAAGAAAACAAAAAUCAAGUUUAAAAAUAUGUUUGAAUGGUUUUUUUUUAUUUUAAUAUCCUAGAAAACGAGCUCAAAAAAUGGAAAAAAAAAAGGUAAAAACAUUAUUUUGGUAUUUUAAAAAAAAUAAUAAUAAUAAAAAUCUUUUUUUAUUAUUUAAGUUGAAACCAAUAUAAAAGACUUUGUGCCUCGACCAAUAUAAAUAUCAUUGCUAUCAAAUAAAUAUAAUAUAAAUAAAAUAUUAUCUCAUAUAUAUUUGAAAACAAAUAUUUUAUAUUUUAUAAAUAUUUUGUUUCUUUAUUAGACUCAUUAUUAUAAAUGAAUAUAUUUUUAUAUUAAAAUAAUUUACUUGUUUGAUUAUAAAUAUAUUAGAAAAUUUUAUUAAAGUAUUUUAAAAUAAAAAAGGAUAAUAAUUAGAUGCAAUAUAAAAUUAAGAUUUAUAAAAUAUAAUAUAAUAAUAUAUAACAAUAUAAUAAUAAUAAUAAUAAUUAUUAUUAUUAUUAUUAUUACUACUACUAUUUAAUAUCAUAUUAUGUAUCUUAUAAAAGAAGAAAUAUUAUAUAUUGUAAUAAUAGAUCCAUGACAUGACAUAUAAAUUAUAUCAAAUUUUAUUUAUAUUUUUUUCACUAUCUUUUAUAUAAAAAGGAAAAACAGAAAAUAAAAGCUAAAAUGAAAAUAGAAAAUUAAAACUAUAAAAAUAUAACCUAAUUACCAAAUUUAAUUUUCAAACACAACCUAAUUAUUAAAAUUGAUUUUCAAACAUUAAAAUCUACAUCCCUAAAAUUGCCGUAAUGAAUUUUAAUUUAUCUAUUUAAUAAAAUAUUAUUAAAUAAUAAAUUUGAUAUUUGUAAAUAUUUUUUAUUGAUUAAUAUCAUAUUCUUAAUUAAAUUAUUAGUAUAUUAUUCCAUUUAAAAAAAAUUAUCUAAAAUUAAUAUUUUUUUAAUAAUGAAUACAUCUAGAGAAAACUCUCAUAUCUAAUUUAAAUUAUUUCAUUAAAUAUGGUAAAAAAUAAUUUACAAAAGUUCCAUACAUUUAAAAUAAUAAAACCAAAUUAUCAUUUUUAAUGAAUCAAACAAAAUUGUAACAUUUUUAUUAAAACAAGUAUUUAGUGACACGAAUAUAAUACAAAUCAUUGCUAAUUAUUAUAAAUUUAAUAGUUAAAAUUAUUUUUUAAAUAUUAAAUGAUCUAAUAUAUAGAGUUACCAUGAUAAAUUCCGAUUUGAACAAUUUAGUUGAAAUAGUGAUUAGAUAAAAAAAAAAAUUGCAUGAAUAUAAAAAAUAAAUGCAUAUAUUAAUUUUAGUUUUUAUAUAAUCAAUUUAUUAUUUAGAAGUAAAACAUUUAUCAUCCGCAUGGUAUUUAUUAUAAUUAUUUUUUAUAUUAUACUAUUCAAUAUAUAAAAAUAAUUAUAUAUAUUAAAUAAUUCAUAUCAUUUUUAGUUUUCUUUAACCAUAUAUUUAAUUUUAUGAUUAAAAUUUGUAAUUUUACUAAAUAAGUUAUUAAAAAAAAUAAUAAAUAAAUUUAUAAUAAAUGGAAUAUGUAUAUCCUAUAUCUUAACUUAAGAUUAACAUUUCAGAAGAGAUAUAAAAUAAAUGGUAGAUACUAUACAAUUGAAUAAGUUGUCGGAUAACUUAUCCUUAUUCAUUAUUGUUAGGAUUUUUAGGCUAAUCCAACUUAUGGUAAUCACCCUAGAGGGGGGGUGAAUAGGGUGAUAGUCUCUUUUCGCAAAUUAAAAUAAGUGAAUGCAAGAGACAAUUAUAUGCAAAUAUAUAAUAAGCAAUAUAUAGACAAUUGCAUAUAAAUUAAGGAGUAGGGAAGAGAUAAUGCAAACACAAGAGUUUAUAGUAGUUCGGCGCAACCCGGCCUACAUCCACUCUCCUCUAGCUUUAAUCCCGAGCUUGAGGUUCUACUAAUACAAGGCUUCCAACCCAAGCCUUCAAGCAAUACAAUUGGAUUAUGGUUCUAGUUCACCCUCUUUGACUUUUGGCUCCAAACACCCUUUACAUUUCUCAAUAGAUAUUCUUCUCUUGAAUAACUUCUUCUUAAGGGUUUACAAUUAAAUAUAUCAUAAAAAAUCAUAAUACAAGAACUUUAAACUCAAUUGAUACGAUAAAAACCAUGAUUGAAUGGUGCACUAAGAAUAUGCAAGUUUUGAAAUAAUGGUGCACUCAAAAAUACUAUUCUAAGGCUCAAAUAUAAUCAAGAAAGAUUUGAGAAGGUUAAGAUCUUGAAACAAUGAAAAUUGAAGCAUUUUUAUAGAAGAGAAAAGCCAAAUUAGCUGUUUGGGGGUUUGACCGGUUGACUAGCUGUUAACAUUAAAUGUUUGGCAGGUGACCGUUAGCCUCAAUCGGACCUCGAUCGAACCUCAAUUGGGAAGAGAAUCACCUCGAUCGGGAAGGGAAGGCCACUGGGAGAGAGAGAAACUUUUUGGCCUCCCUCAACCGGUCGACCGGUUCCUCAACCGGUCGACCGAUUCCUCAACUGGCUGAGCCAUUUUUUGGCUCAACAACCAACUUUUUCAACUUAAAACCUUUUAAAACAAAUUUGAAAGACAUUUAACACAAGGUUUUAGUUGAAAACAUGAAAUCAUCCAAUUCCUAAAAUAUUUAAAAACAAAAUAACUCUUGGAUGAUUUUGGUGCAUAAGUGAAUAAUGAAAUGCAUGAAAGUCUUAAUGCACCAACAACCUUACAAAGAGAUAUUAUGAAGCUUGGGUCUUGAAAAACUCUUAUCUUUGAGGUGGUCUUCUUCUUCAUAAUUUCUCAUUGGCUUAAUUUGUCUUUGUGAUUGCCACUUUGGAAAUCGUCUUGCAUAAUCACACUUAAAAUAUGAUCAUUAGAUUUAAACCUUAUUUUGUUAUCAUCAAAAUCAAGAUUAAUCAAACCUUGGUUUCACAAUUACUAAUCAAAAGUUAAGAUAUGUCAUAUUUUCUCUUAUCCUAUCUUAUGUUAUAUCCGACAAACUAAACAUGAUUUUGGGGUAUUAAACUUUAACAGGUGAUAUUUAUUUUUGUUACUUAAAUCCAAAUUAAACUUAAUCCUAUAUACAAUUUCAUAAUAUUAAGUACUAAAUUGUUUUUUAUUUUAUUAUUAUUUUUUUUGUUAAGCAUUGAGUAUUUAGCAAAAAGUCAAAUAUUUUUACUUUUUUUAUUUGGUCCAAAAAUUUUAAAAAUAAAUAAUAACUAAUUUUUUUUAAAACAAAUCAUUCCUGAAUGCUUCAUCAUUAAAAAAGAUUAUGAUAAAAUUAAUUUAUUUUUUAACUUCUUUGUGGUCAUUUAAAAUAAUUAAAUCGAAUUAGAACCAAAAAAAAAGGAAGGUAAAUUUAUUUUUAUAUUUCAUUUUACAAUUUUUAAGAAUUUCAUUGACAAUAACCACUCCAAGGUAUUGCACCUAAUAGUUGUUUGAGUCAGUAUUGUGAUGCUCCCAUAGUUUGUGAUUUUGGGGCCAACAAGCUUUUAUCAUAAGUCAUGUGUGGAAUGCAUAUGUGCACUUUGAAAGUGAUACCUUCCUUGGUGUGAACAUAAAUUCCUAUAUUUCAUUGGGCCCAAUUGAAUAGAUUAUUUAUUUCUUAAUUUCUUUUUUUUUCAUUUAUUUUUCAUGAAAGUAACUUUUAAAUGUAGAGAGAGUAACUAUGCCAAUGUGAAAAGUCAUUCACGGUGAAGUGCCUAACAAAUUUUUAAAAACUAAGAAAAUUACUUCAACUGUUUUCAAAUAGGUAUUUGAAAACGAUUCUAUAAUAUUUUAUAGAACAAAAGUCUAUUUAGGAACUUGAAAUAUUCUUAAUAUUUUUUUCUAUAUUUUUAUAUAUGUUUUUUUAAAUAAAUUUUAUUUGUAGUACUUUAUUUUUAAUCAUUUUUUAUAUUUGUAUAAUUAUUUUUUAAAACAAAUCUCAAAAAACAAAUAAAUAUAACUAAAAAAUAUUUUUUGAAAAUACUAUGUUUUUUUCCUCUAAAAAAUAAAAAAAUUGUUUUAAAAAUAAUUGUCAAACAAGAGCUUAGUAUCUAUUAAAAUUAAUUUCAUACAUUUUAUUUUUAAAAUUAGAAAUAGUAAUACUUUUAUUUAACACACAAUAACUUUUUAAAACUUGUAUUGAAAAAUAUAUUAGUUUUAAAAGCCAAUUUAAAAGAUAAAGGCACAAACCCUUUUCAAAUAAAGGGGCACCGAUUCUAAAGGCUCCUAUUGAUAAGAUUUUAUAUAACAUAGAAUAGUCAUAGAAAGGGUUUUUAAGUUUUUGAUGGGUUUGAGGCCUAAGUUCGAGAAUGUUAGAUCCUUAAUUCAACAUCGAGUUUCUUUACCAAACAUUUAGAGAGCAAUUGUUGAUAUUAGAUCCAAGGGAACUCGACUUGCUCUCCUUUACUAAGUUGGGUGUUGGAGGUCGAUCUUAUAUCACUAAGGGUGCUUCGGAUCAGAUUCUUGCAACUGAACAUGCUUCAAGGCAUCAACCCUAUAGUCCAUCAUAAAAUUUUAAAUUAAAAAAAUGGUAAGUGAAAUUUAUUUUUUUUGUGUGAUAUAUUCUACUUUUUCAUAAAAGCUUAUAACUUUAAAAUAAAAUAAAAUAGGCACUUAUUAAAUGAUUUUUCAAAAAAAAAUCAUUUUUCAUUAUACAAUACAACACCAAAAACAUUAUCAAAACAUUUUUUUUGGAUUAUAUUUAAACACUAUCUAAACUAAAAAAAACACUUAAAUCACUCUUAAUUAUAAAUCUUAUAAAUUUUAAAUGAGUUGUUAUAAAUUCUAUCUUAUAUUAAGCAUUUGAAUGAUUAUAAGUUAAUGAUAUUACAAUAUUAUUUUGAUAAAAAAUAUACAUGGCAUUUUUGGGAAAUUUAAAACCAAAGGUAACUUCAAAAUUUGUUUAUAUUUAGAAAUAUGCAAACAUAAAUGGCUAAAUAUUCAUCUACAUGCUUAAUUUUUGGAUUUGUAAGGUAACAAUUACAAAAUAACACAUCUUUAAGAACAAUCAAGUAGGCACUGAGAGCAGCUUAUUUGGGUAUUGAUUUUUUUAAAAAGAAAAAAAAAAGUUUUUUUGGUAAAACACAUUUGACAAUUUUUUGAAACUUAUUUUUAAAAUUUAUUUUUUAUAUUCUUAAACUUCAAAACAGUUUUUAAAAAUAAUAUUAAGAAAAUAGGUCAAACAAACAUAUUUAUGUUUUACUUUCAUUUUUAAAAACCGAUGAAAACAACUUAUACUUAAUUUUUAAAAAUUGUUUUCUAUUUUACUUUAUUUUUAAAAAUUAUUUAUAUACAACAACGACCAAAUCAUGUUAAAAAAUUUUUAAAAACAGUAUUUUGUUUUCAAAAAUAGAAAAAUAUUUUUAAAUUACAUGGUCAAAUAGGCUCUAUUUUUUUGAUAACCUAUUUAAAAAAUAAAGUGUUUAUAUUAUAUUUUAAAAGUUAUUAGUUAUUUUUAUUAGUUCUGUGAAAAUUAUUUUAAAAAAUAAUUAUACAAAUAUAGAGAAUAAUGGAAAAUAAAGUAAUAUAAAUAAAAGUUAUUUUUAAAAAAUAUUAAAAAAAUAUAAAAUUAUAUGUUGUGAAUAUCCUGUUUCUAAUUUCACAAACAAAUCUUUAUUCAUAAAAACAUAAGAAUUGUUUUUAAAAACAGUUCUAAAAACUAUUUAUCGAUUUUGUAACUAAUUUUAGAUUACAUCAAAACUCAAAAAAAAAAAAAAAAACAAAAUCCCUGUAUAUAUAAUAAAAUGAUAUCCUAAAAUUUGUCAUUUUUAUAAAUCAAUUAUGAAAAAUUCACUUAAAAAAAUCAAACAAUUUGUCAAACAAUUUUCUUUAAUUAACAUUUGGAUAAUAAUCCAAAACUUCCAUUUUGUUUUCCAAAAUAUCUACGUUAAAUUUUGUCCAAAUUUUUAUUAUAUUUUUAUUCUUGGAAUUCAAAUUUUUUUAUAAAUUUUCUCGCCCUAAUUUCUAUAUAUAUUAAAAAAAUGAACAAAAAAAAAAUUAUUGUCCAAAUUUACCAAAUUGGGUUCAAUUCAAAUGAUUGAUCCGACCCGGAUCCAACUUCCAAGAAGUUUCACACAAAGCACCAUUAGAUAAGGCCAUAAAAGCAUCAUUUCACAGUAAAAAUACCAGUAGAGACACACAGAUCACAACAGAGCAAACCCUAAUAUCUCCCCCCAAUUCAAUCCCUCCAGUGCCCACGGUUCAUCUAUAACUGCAAUGAUUGCCUCAAAGCCCUUGCCCAACAAUCGAUUCCUCUCAAUGGAUCCAGGGUUUUUCUGAUGUUGCUGUUGAGGUUUGGUGGUCCCUAUAUCUUAAAGCUUCGUAAAUGGUUGUGAAUUAUUGGUAUUCGCUCUUGAUACGGGGGUUUUAUGUGUGAUGCCAUGAAGGGUAGAUCUGUGGGAGUGGUUCGAGAAUCUGGUUAGGUGUUGGUGAUUUUUGGUGGGGUCUGUGUAGGUUAUUGAAUCAUUGGUGCAUGUUCGUGUUUUAAUUGAUCGUUGGUUCUGUGGAUCUGUGAUUUGGGUUUGUGUUUAUGCCCCAUUUGAAGGAAACUUUGAGUUUAUUUUCAUGUUUUUGGGCUUUAUUUAGUGGGUGAGUAUCUCCCAUUUUGUAUCAGGUUGGAUUUUUAGCUUUUGGAGUUUCUGGGUUUUGUUGAUAGGUGCUUAUUACCAGAUACUUGCCUCGUAUGAAACUUGUUGUGGAUGUGGGUCCUUGCAAAUUUGGAGCGUUGAUGCCAGUUUAGAUGUGUUUUGAGAGGAAUUGUGGCUGUUACAUGUUAUUGCCAUCAAAUUUUAGCUUUUAGGUUUUGAAGGUUUGUGGUGUUGUUGACUAGUGUUUGUUACUUUCUAUCUGUGGAAACUUUCUUUGUAUGAAGAUUGACACAGAUGUGGGUUGCAACAAAUUAGGAGGGAAUGGAAAUUUCUAAAUGUGUUAUUUGUAUUAUGUAAAGUUAUAGAGAGGCAAGGACUCAAUGUCAUUUAAGAGUAUCAUUCAGGAUAUGAGGGGGGAAUUUGGGAGCAUUUCUAGAAAAGGGUUUGAAGUGAAAUUUAACUAUGGGUUGAGAUCACGGUCGCACCGGGUGGUUCAGGAUAGUUCCAUGGUGGUUGAUGCGUUGAGACAGAGUUGUUGGGCUAACAUGCCUCCUGAAUUGCUGAGAGACGUGUUAAUGAGGAUAGAAGCAUCUGAGAGUACUUGGCCUCCUCGGAAAAAUGUGGUUGCUUGUGCUGGUGUGUGCAGAAGUUGGAGAGAAAUCACUAAGGAAAUUGUGAAAACCCCAGAACUGUCGGGCAAGUUGACGUUCCCCAUCUCUUUGAAGCAGGUUUGAAAUAUUGUGCUUUUCAGAAACAUAAAUAUGUUUUAAUAAAACCAUUUAGUUGUUAUUUGAUUGAACCUCAUUUGUUUUAUAAUCGAUUAUGCCUUUGUUCUUUAAUUAAUGUGUUUUUGAUCAUUUCAAUUUUUGGCCAUAUGUCUUUAUCUUCUCCUCAGGGUUGUGGUAACUAAAUUUGGCUCUUAUUCUUUAGAUAAGGUUCUAUUUGUCACCAAUGUUUUAUUUAUUUUAUGAAGUAACAUGCUAUAUUGGCAUAUGUAUCCUUAAGAGGAUUUGAAAUUUGUUUAGAGGUCUUGGUUUUCAUUGGUUUAUAGAUACUUCAUUCUAUGAAAUUGGGGAUGAUUCUAUUAUCUAACAUGUCUUGUAAUUCUCGGCAAUGGGAAAGGUAGGCAGGUCGACUAUCUUAGUUAAGCUUCCAAUCAUGAUCAGAACUGGUUUCACUAUGAAACACUUGUGCAUUUCUGAUUUUGGUUCUGAAUUGCGUGACUCCAUGUUGAAUUGUUUCAUUUUGGAAGAUGAUUAAAAAAACUAAAUUUUUUCUCCUAUGAAUAAUUGGUUUAUCUAAUGCUUGAUUUAUUUUCUAGUACAGCAAUGCAGUCAUCCUGAUUUAUCUUGUAUUUUUGCACUAAAUUGGUCUUUCGUUAUCCUUGAAAAAUUUCCUAUUCUUUUUUUUUUUUUUUAUAACUAUUUAUCAAAAUCUUUUGACUUGAUGAAUCAUCUGAACUGUUGGAAAAGAUGGGUGUUUGGAACUAUUUGUCUUCAAAGCAAUUCAGAAAAUGGCAACUUUAUUUGGAAAAUGACAAGGCAUGGAGAAAAUGCAAGUUUUGGAGAAAAACUCAGCAUGGGCUGUCAUUUUCUUUAUGGUGGACUAAUAUGGAAUAUUCUCAAAUAAUUUGGGAUUUUUGAAAUAUAGUGGAUGAGUUUGUGAAUAAUUGAGAAUAUUAUGAACAUAAGCAAGAUGAGUCAAACCUUUAGUUUGGUGCAUGUUGUUUUAGUUGUUCGUUAACACUAAGAUUUCUUGGAUUGUAAACCCUGAAAAUAUUGAAACUAAUCCGGAAAAAAAUGUUUACCAUGUAUAUGCACAAGAAAGAAAUUGGUAUCUAUAUUUAUAUAGAAGUAAAUAUAUCUUUCUACACAAGUAUAUCCACAUAUGAUAUGAGAAAAUAAAAAUCUUGAGUAAAAAUCUUUUCAUUUUAUAACUACGGGUGAUUUAAAGUUAUAUCAAUUAAUGCAUUAAGUUGCCAGACUAAUAGUGAUCAGUAAAAAGAAUUUGUAGGGCAGGAUCAAAAGUUUCAGUUAAAAGCAAUAUAGAGCUGGGGUCACCUUUAGUAUCAUUAUGCAGAACAAUAUGGAUUAAGUUGCUUCUAUCCUUAUAAAUGAAUGUUAGUCUUCUAAACCAGUCCUGUUUCUGUAGUUAAUUUUUAUGAUUCUGUGAAUAUUUGACUCUUGCAGGCAUUGCAUUAGAAAUUAUUCGAAGUCCUCUAUGUGUGUUGGGGGGGGGGGGGGGGGGGUGGGGGGUGGAGGGUUUGUUGGAUGCUGCUUUGUUAUUAAAAAUUGUUUUAAUUUAAUGCUACUUGUUUGGAUGCUUAUAAUCUUCAACACAUUUGCCCAUCCCUUUUUAAGCUCAUAUUUGAAAAUCCUUUUUUUCCCCCAGCCUGGGCCAAGGGGCUCCCUCCUUCAGUGUUAUAUAAAGCGGAAUCGUAGCAACCAAACAUAUCAUCUCUAUCUCGGCUUAAAUCAAGGUGAAUAACUAAACCCCAUUUAUUUUUUGAUAAGUUGUUGUUCAUUAAUGAAGGCUUUCUUGCAUAUAGAACCUGCAUUGAUCCAGGUUCAUUUGAUGCAUUUAGUUGUAUGGUUGGAUUGGUGAAGAGGUAGAUGUCCUCAUUCUUAAUUAUCAAGUAGGAUAUUUAGAAGACAGUUUCUGUUUUCGAGUCUACUUUUUGAGCUGUAAAUGUUUUAACUUUUUUGGUUUUGUCUGAUCUGUUGAUAGCUUCAACUGAUGAUGGAAAGUUUCUUCUUGCUGCACGGAAGUGUAGACGUCCUACUUGCACAGACUAUAUCAUCUCUCUUAAUGCUGAUGAUGUUUCCAAGGGGAGCACCACUUAUAUUGGAAAGUUGAGGUAUGUGUAGCUGUUGUAUGAGGUGGCUGUUUCUCACUGAUUAUGUUGGCCCCGGUUUCACUAUCUCAUUUCCCUUGCUGACAGGUCAAAUUUUCUGGGAACCAAGUUCACUGUCUAUGAUGCGCAGCCUCCAAAUGCAGGAGCAAGGAUUAGUAAAUCUCGUUCAACCAGGCGACUGGGUUCAAGACAAGUCUCCCCUAGAGUCCCUGCUGGCAACUAUCCUGUAGCCCACAUUUCAUAUGAAUUGAAUGUCUUGGGUUCCAGGUAAGAAAGGUUCCUUGAACUUCUCCCUCAUCUAGAAAGAAACAUGAAUAUGUGAUGGGUAAAGAUGGGAAUAAAAAUCUUAUGACUAUAGUAGCUUUACCUUAUGUUUGGUUCCAAGAAAAUAGUAAGGAAAUAAGUUUUUUUUAUAAGGAAAAUGAUUUUUUCAUGUUCAGUUUUAUUAUGGAAAAUACAAAGAAAAAAAUUAAAUGUAAUUGAAAUUAAUUAGAAACUUAUGCACGGUCAAAUUAUUUAAUUAUUAUAUAAAAGAGUUAAAAUAAGUGAAAUAAGUUUAAAAGUAGCAUAAAAAAUAAUUUAUUGACUUUAAAUCCGUUUUAUAUUUUCCUUCACUUCUUCUUUCCCUCUACUUUUCCUUUCUAUUUUCUUUCCCUCACAUCUUCCUAGAAACAAGCAUAACCUUUGGGACGUGAGUUUUGUUUAUAUGUAUUAACUCAAAAUUUCAUCCUGUGAAACCAGGGGUCCAAGGAGAAUGCAGUGUGUCAUGGAUGCCAUCCCUGCCAAUGCCAUUGAGCCAGGAGGAGUGGCCCCCACCCAAACUGAAUUUGUUCUUAGCAAUGUGGAUUCCUUUCCAUCCUUCCCAUUUUUCAGAUCAAAAUCUAACCGAACAGAGAGUUUGCAUUCUGGGCCUUUGUCUGGCCCAAAAGAUGAAAUGCUGGUUUUGAAAAACAAGGCCCCUAGGUGGCAUGAGCAACUCCAAUGCUGGUGUCUGAACUUCAAUGGACGGGUGACAGUUGCUUCAGUAAAGAAUUUUCAGCUGGUUGCUUCUGCAGAGAAUGGAGUUGCUGGUCAGGAGCAUGAAAAUGUCAUUCUCCAGUUUGGAAAAGUGGGAAAGGAUGUGUUCACCAUGGAUUACCAGUAUCCAAUCUCAGCUUUUCAGGCAUUUGCCAUCUGCCUCAGCAGCUUUGACACCAAAAUUGCUUGUGAGUGAAUGACUGACUAGCAGGUGUGGAUCCUAUACUAUGCCCAGCCACAAAGAUUUAUUAGAUGCCCAGCCACAAAGAUUUAUUAAGUCAUUAUCAUCCUCAAGAAUAUUUUUUUCAUGGCUCUUGAUUGAAUGUUUUGAUUGUUGCUGUAUUCUUAUAUGGCAAGCUGUUCACUCAUGUAUCAUCAUAAAUGUGACCUAGACGAACAUUCAGACUUAUUCUUCAAAAUGUUUCCCCUUAGUGUGUUCCUUUGAUAUGAUUAUCUCUAUUCUCAUGGGACAAACUGUCCUGUUACUUUAGUGUUCUGUGGGGUUAUGGCUCAUAUCAAAGGCUCUCCACAAUCCUAUGCUCUUUCAGUUAGUGUUUUCCUAAUCCAUUUCUCUUGGAUUUUAAGCUGCUGAAGUUCUUGAAUUUUACCUCACAGGUGUUGCCAGAUGCGACUGAAGUGAUCUGGAAAGGCAAUUGUAGUGCUGUGGCUUGUCAGUGUGCAACAAAGCUUUGGUAGUGCAAUCACCUUCCUGUUUCUUCCUAAGUAGUGAGGGUUUUCUUUCUAUUUUUUUCUCUGUACAUAAGCUGCUUCUAUUAUGAGCGAAACGUGCCUGUGCCCAUGUUGGUUGUGGUCUCGCUAGCACCCUUCAUCCUCUGGGUCAUUGACUGUUAGAAACUGAACACCUGAAUUGUGUAUGGCUGGCUUUGCGAGUUUGUCAGUUGGGUUCCUUCAGUGUUGCUUCUGUUUUCUUCUAUCAUGUAAUUUUGGAGUUCCAUUUCCGGUUGCUUGUAACAGUUCUUUGAAGAAACCUUCUGAAAUAGUAUACAAAUCUCCC
rnacentral:lncRNA from 1 species